rnacentral:rRNA from 1 species
UACAGAGACUGCAAGCGUUAUUCGGAUUCACUGGGCGUAAAGGGUGCGCAGGCGGUUUGGGGUGUGUCAGAUGUGAAAUCCCGAGGCUUAACCUCGGAACUGCGUCUGAAACUACUCGACUAGAGUACUGGAGAGGGAAACGGAAAUUCACGGUGUAGCAGUGAAAUGCGUAGAGAUGUGGAGGAAUGCCGAUGGCGAAGGCAGCCUCCUGGGCCAACACUGACGCUCAUGCACGAAAGCGUGGGGAGCAAACAGG